rnacentral:rRNA from 1 species
CUAGCUGUAAACGUUGGGUACUAGGUAAUGGGGGGUAUAAACCCUCAGUGCCGAAGCAAACGCGUUAAGUACCCCGCCUGGGGACUACGGCCGCAAGGUUAAAACUCAAAGGAAUUGACGGGAGCCCGCACAAGCAGCGGAGCGUGUGGUUUAAUUCGAUGCGACACGAAGAACCUUACCUGGGUUUGACAUGUAUGUAGUAGGGAAGCGAAAGCGGACCGACCCGCAAGGGAGCAUACACAGGUGC